ACUUUUAAAGUAAAAAUUAUUUUACAUCAAGUUUCGGCCUUGAAAGUGGAAAAUUCUUUCCUAAAAGUU
rnacentral:tRNA from 2 species